rnacentral:ncRNA from 2 species
CGCCGGGUUCGCGCCGAUUUGACGUAAACAGAUUGCGGGCGCGUUAAAAAUUCCGCUAAAGCGAGGCCCACACCGCUAAAGC